rnacentral:rRNA from 1 species
UACGUAGGGUGCGAGCGUUGUCCGGAAUUAUUGGGCGUAAAGAGCUCGUAGGCGGCCUGUUAAGUCGAACGUGAAAUCCCCGGGCUCAACCCGGGAACUGCGUCCGAUACUGGCAGGCUUGAAUCCGGGAGAGGGAUGCGGAAUUCCAGGUGUAGCGGUGAAAUGCGUAGAUAUCUGGAGGAACACCGGUGGCGAAGGCGGCAUCCUGGACCGGCAUUGACGCUGAGGCGCGAAAGCCAGGGGAGCAAACGGG